AUCGUUAUUUGGGGCGAUUGUCGGACUAGUCGCUGCGUACAAAACGGAACUAUUUCAACUAGUGACUAGACCGAACACUCGCGUCCUAAAGCACGAUCAG
rnacentral:pre_miRNA from 11 species